GACACGGUGCAGCAAGAAGAUAAGUCUCAGGAAUAAAAGGAGUUACGAUGAACAUUCCAUUCAGGGAAUACUCAGAAGGAAAGAACAGGAAAAAAAAGAAAACGAAUUACCAAGUAUUUCAAACCCAAAAUUAAGCUGAUAUUUUAUUUGAGACGUGAAAUUGAAAAACAAAAAUCAGCAUCACUCAAGCAAUUUGGAUCGGUCUAUUAGCUAAAGCAAUUUUAUGCUUUCUUCUGAUUCAUCUUCCAUUGUCUCCUGGUUCAGGUUAUGAACAGGGAAAUGGAAACAACAUACAAGGGGGUGGAAUCAUUUUUAGGAUUAACAGACGACUUGGUGCGGCGGUGGUGGUAGUCGUGGUGGUGGUCGUUCAUCAUCGUCAUCUAAUAAUGGUAGAAGUGGUAGGGCAGCUAACAAGAAGACACCUAACACGUCAACCGGUAAUAAUAAAAGAAGCAAUAAUGGAACGGGACAGUGGUACCUGUCACUGGUGGCAUAUAUGGAGCUGGUGCGGCAGCUAGCCACAACAAUAAUAAUAAAAAUCGUAGUACGGCUGCACCUCCAAGCUGCAACCGCAACAACUUGAGUUUAUUAGCUGCGGCUAUAGUUGCCAUCUUACUAGCGGCAGAGUUCUAAGUUUGUAAAAUAUUUUUUUUAUUCAAUCCAGUCCAGUGUGCAUAAAAUUAUUUAAAUUUUUUUUGUGUAUAAUUUUUUUUUUUUUUUUUUUUGGUGGGAGUGUGUAUCAAACAACUCGGAACAACAUGUAGCUGAUAAAAAUCAGAGCACCUGCAAGUUUUUCACAAGAUGACAAAGAUGUAAGAGUAAAACUGGAAUAAGAGAGAGAAACAUGAAAUGGGUUCAUUGUCCA